GAUGAACGCUGGCGGCGUGCCUAAUACAUGCAAGUCGAGCGCACAAACGAGGAACUUGUUCCUCUUAGGUUAGCGGCGGACGGGUGAGUAACGCGUGGAUAACCUGCCUAUGAGACGGGGAUAACAUCGGGAAACCAAUGCUAAUACCGCAUAAUAACUUUAACCGCAUGGUUCAAUAGUGAAAGAUGCAUUUGCAUUACCCAAUAGUGGUAGCCGGAUUAGCUAGUUGGUUGGGUAAGGGAAUACCAAGCCAAGGAACCGUAGCUGACCUGACAGGAUGAUCGGCCACACUGGAACUGAGACACGGUCCAGACUCCUACGGGAGGCAGCAGUGGGGAAUCUUCGGCAAUGGGCGAAAGCCUGACGGAGCAACGCCGCGUGGGUGAUGAAGGUCUUCGGAUCGUAAAACUCUGUUAUUGGGAAAGAACAAAUGUGGAAUAAAAUACGCACGUCUUGACGGUACCUAAACAGAAAGCCACGGCUAACUACGUG
rnacentral:rRNA from 1 species